ACUGCCCAGCCCUGCGACAGCCUAUAUGUUGCCUCCCCGCAUCAGCCCUCGCCCCGGAAAAGUGGGCGGCCCGCCGCACGAACCCUAAACUCUGUUUUUAUUGGAACUUCUGAGUAUAAAAAACAAAUAAAUCAAAACUUUCAACAACGGAUCUCUUGGUUCUGGCAUCGAUGAAGAACGCAGCAAAAUGCGAUAAGUAAUGUGAAUUGCAGAAUUCAGUGAAUCAUCGAAUCUUUGAACGCACAUUGCGCCCGCCAGUAUUCUGGCGGGCAUGCCUGUUCGAGCGUCAUUUCAACCCUCAAGCCCAGCUUGGUGUUGGGAGCUGCAGUCCUGCUGCACUCCCCAAAUACAUUGGCGGUCACGUCGAGCUUCCAUAGCGUAGUAAUUUACAUAUCGUUACUGGUAAUCGUCGCGGCCACGCCGUUAAACCCCAACUUCUGAAUGUUGACCUCGGAUCAGGUAGGAAUACCCGCUGAACUUAAGCAUAUC
rnacentral:rRNA from 1 species